UCUUAAACAAACAAAAACACAAUGUUUUUCCCUAAAUCUGGUCUAGAAAAAAAUGAAUUUUCCAGCAGCUCCGCUGAAGAGCCAAAUCACUUUGUGAUUGAUCUAGAGGAGGAAAAUGAUAUCGUAAAUGACCCUGCUGCGCAUUUCAAUCCCUGUGUAACACAAGGUAGCCGAAAAGCAUAUGCGAUAAAGGCGGCCACUGAGAGGAAGAUUGUGGUGAAAAUCGAUAUACCCGGUUGCACGAAGUUGGACACAUUCGAUAUCCAUCUCAACAAAGUUCGGUUUACCGCGAAGGAAGUUCAACCUGGUGCGGUUGGCUUGAGUUUCAAGUUUGCGGCGAGGGAGUACGACGGCUCUAUUCUCUUCAAGUACAAGGCGUACAAGAACAACGACAUCACCUACAACAUCACUUACGGCGUCCUCCGCGUAACCUUCUCCAGCACCAACUAAGUUACUAUAAUUUCUAUAGUUUUACAUUUAUCUAAAGAAAUAAAAGUCGGCGGCAUGACAUGCUUAGUAUUUAUAAUAAACAAAAGUUAAUUUAAUAUCUAUGGUUCGUCGUGUGGAUUGAGUCGAAAUGGUUUAGUUUUCUAUUGGACUGAUGAAUGAAAUCGUCGGAUUGCUUGUAUCCCUUGCUUGAUAAACAAAAGUUAAUUUUAAGAUUUUAAAACACAAUCAGAAAAGCAUAUUCUACGCCUCCUACUCCUUAUACUUAUGGUAAAAAUUGACUCACCCGACAUACUUUGAUCCGUUCUAUUCCAUUGCGAGUUUAAUAUAUUACUAGAUUUCGACCCGCACACCCGUGCGGGUGUUUAUUUUUAUUUUUGAUUCAAAAUAAUUAUUUGUUUUUAUAAUUAGUAAAUAUAUAUUUUAAUAUUUACCAUAUAACUAAUUAUAUAUUAUUAUAUUUAAACAAAUUGUAUCGUGAGAAGGUUUGUUGGUCGAUAUUGACCAAAUGCUUGUGAUAUAGAAAAGGUUUGUUGGUCGAUAUUGACCAAAUGAUUGAUAUAUUAUAAUAAUUGGAGUUAUCCUAUUCAAAUGAUAAAAAAAAACAAUUCUUAGUUUUUAUGCUCACUUUGUAAUCCGAAAAAUAACGAACUAAUAAUAUAUUAUUUGUUGAAUUUUCAUUGACUGAAUAUAUGAUAAUUAUAUGGUUUAUGUUUGCCAUAGGAAGGUUAAAAAUUUAUAGUGGAGCAGUGUACGAUUAUGUUUGCCGUACGAAGGUUAAAAAUUUAUAGUGGAGCAGUGUACGAUAAUAAGAUGCCAUUCUAUUUUUGGUGUGAUUCCAAAUUUAUAAGAGUUUGGAUUCCUUAAAGGAAGAGGUGAUGAAUAGUUAAUAUUUUUAAUUAAUUCUGGUUUUAGUAAUAUUAUUGAAUUGACGUUUGUUUGGGUUAACUACUACGUACGGUUUGGUUAGUUAUUUAAAUUAGAUUUAAAUGGUUUGAUUUAAGUGUUAAACAUGGUUUAAGCUAGUGGCAUAAACUUGUAAUAUUUAAAGAAAACUGAGGGUUAAUUUUAAUUUGUACUCCAGUUUCUGGAUCAGAUAUAUGACUAAUUCAUCUUUUCGGAUUUAUUGAUAUAUGUUUUCAACCAUUUAACCAAUUUGCUAUAUAAAUAUGCUUGGCCUUUCACCAUUGACCCAUUAUGAGCUUAACUCAUUAGAGUCGUCGGCUGGAUUGGGUUGUAUUAAUCCACUAUGACUCUCCUUUCACACACACACACAACAAGAAGGUUUGUCCAAAAGCAAUGAUGAUACUUGCACUAUUUGAGAAAAAAAAAAGAGUUUCUUUUGAUUAAAUAAUCAUUAAAAAUACUUAAGAUAGACUAGGUAAUUCUUAAAAAUUAUAUAAAAAAGUUUAAUAUUAUACUUAUAAACUUUUAUGGGAAAGUUAGCUUACAUUAUCAAAAAAUAAAAAUAAAUUGUAAUCUAAUUUAGAUUAAAGACUAACCCCUAAAACUUAUAAAAAAUCUGUUCAGAAAAUCUAACAUAUAUGAUAUACCUAUAAAAUACUUUUCAUAACAACACCAGUAAAAGAUUUCUUAUAGAUUUAGUUACAGUUAAAUCUAUAAAGAAAUAAAACUAUAAUUAACAUAUUUUGAAAACAAAGAUUUGAUACAUUCUUUAAAUUAGAUUAGUACAUUAAUUUAUACUAUGUCAAUAUCAAAUUUUAUAGAAAAGAUCUCUAUGUAUACUUACAUAAUUGUAUAAUGUCAUUAUAAAGAGGUUUAAACGGACAAAGAGAUCAUUGAGAAAUUAAAGUAUGGGCUUAAAACUAGGAGUGAUGAAAAAUAAAGAGGACAAGAAAAAUUAUGAAAGAGAUGGUGAGUGUGAUAUUCCUCAUGAUCUCAUGAGGGAGAUAUUACUGAGACUUCCAGCGAAAUCAUUGCUAAGGUUUCGAUGUGUAUCAAAGUUAUGGUUCUCUACCACUACAGAUCCAAGUUUCAUUAAUUCGUUCGCCACUCAGUCAUCAACUCGUCCGUAUCUUGAACUCUGUUUUACAAAAGAGGACAACUGGUUAUUUUUCUCAUUAGCGCAAAAGUCUUUAUCUCAUCAUCAUAUGGACCAUAUCACCCUCCCAAAAGAAGACCGGUUCAUCAAUGAUUUUGAGUCCAUACUUGGCUUGAUCUCCUUCCAAUAUUUAAAUUAUUUUGUGAUCUGGAAUCCUACCAUAAGACAACAUGUAACCAUACCCAAACCCAAAGAUUCAUGGCAUACAAGAAGCUAUUUAGGAUAUGAUCCUAUUGGAGAUACAUAUAAGCUACUUUGUAUGUCAAAUACUUCUGAUUCCAGACCUCAAGUUCUUACAUUAGGAGCUCAAGAAUCAUGGAGAUUGAUUAAAAACAGUCCUAUGCAUUACAAGACGAAUAAUGGAAAAUACAUCAACGGGUUCAUCUUUUAUGAAGCGUAUUUACGAUAUGAAUAUUAUGGAACUCUUGUUGAUCGUGGAUGUCCUUUGUAUAUUUAUCGCGAAGGUCUAGAUAGAAAAACCAUAAUGCGUUUUGAUGUGAGGUCUGAGGAGUUUAAACCAAUCCAAAUGCCCCCGCAUUUUAGUCACAAAACAAGGCAUGCUCUGGUAAAUUACGAGGGCAAAGUGGCACGUAUUUGUCAAGAAUCAUCUUUUAUAAUUUUAUGGAUCCUUGAAGAUGUUGACAAAGAAAAAUGGUCAUACAAAGAGUUCCAUGUGCCUUUUCCCCCAGAAGAUCCAAUUGAAGCAUGUGACUAUAGUAUAAAUAUACUAUCACAACAAAACGAGAACUACAUUCUAAAUGGUAUCGAUGAUGACACUGGUGAAUUAGUGAAAUAUAUUCUAAGUGGUAUUAAUGAUGACACUGGUGAAUUUAUUUUCAUACCAUUAACAAUGUGGUGUGGUGACAAAGAGGCGUAUGUCUUUUGUUAUGAUCCAAAGAAAAAAUGUACGAGGAAGAUCAGAUUUGAAGGAACUGGGUACGUUGACAAUUUUAAGCGUGGUUAUAAACUCAAACAAUGGGUAUUUGCUUAUUGUUUCCCUAAUCAUAUUGAGAGUCUUGUGUCUCUCAACAACCUAACUUUCCCUCAUUAAAUAUUUUAUGUGGAGUUAUUCUUCGGUUCACCUCAUAGGGCAGUGGCAGAGUCAGAACUAUUUUUAACUGGAGUUUUAAUAUGUAAAUUUAAUAUUAAAAUUUAAUAUGUAUAUAUUAUUAUUACAAAAAUAUUUUUUUUUACAAAUUUAAUGGAGACAUAUGAAAACUUAUACAUAAAUUAGUAGAGUCAAAUGCUAUAUUUUAACUAAAUAUUGUAAUAACUUAAGAAAAAAAUUGACUAAUUUUUUUUCUCCAAUCUGAGUGGGGUCAUCUGAUCCCACAAUCUCCUAUCUACCUCUCCUCAUGUUCUAAGUUCAUUAAUGAAUCUUUAGGUUCAUUAAUCAAUAAAAUUUCAUUAUUUUAU